UUUCAUCUGGCAGAUAAAAUGCGAAUGAUUUAGGUUCAUUUUAUAAGAUAUAUUUCUUGAUGAAGA
rnacentral:tRNA from 1 species